rnacentral:rRNA from 1 species
UUAAGCGACUAAGCGUACACGGUGGAUGCCCUGGCAGUCAGAGGCGAUGAAGGACGUGCUAAUCUGCGAUAAGCGCCGGUAAGGUGAUAUGAACCGUUAUAACCGGCGAUUUCCGAAUGGGGAAACCCAGUGUGACUCGUCACACUAUCAUUAACUGAAUCCAUAGGUUAAUGAGGCGAACCGGGGGAACUGAAACAUCUAAGUACCCCGAGGAAAAGAAAUCAACCGAGAUUCCCCCAGUAGCGGCGAGCGAACGGGGAGGAGCCCAGAGCCUGAAUCAGCAUGUGUGUUAGUGGAAGCGUCUGGAAAGGCGCGCGAUACAGGGUGACAGCCCCGUACACAAAAGCGCAUGUGCUGUGAGCUCGAUGAGUAGGGCGGGACACGUGGUAUCCUGUCUGAAUAUGGGGGGACCAUCCUCCAAGGCUAAAUACUCCUGACUGACCGAUAGUGAACCAGUACCGUGAGGGAAAGGCGAAAAGAACCCCGGCGAGGGGAGUGAAAAAGAACCUGAAACCGUGUACGUACAAGCAGUGGGAGCACAGGUUUACCUGUGUGACUGCGUACCUUUUGUAUAAUGGGUCAGCGACUUAUAUUCUGUAGCAAGGUUAACCGUAUAGGGGAGCCGGAGGGAAACCGAGUCUUAAUUGGGCGUUAAGUUGCAGGGUAUAGACCCGAAACCCGGUGAUCUAGCCAUGGGCAGGUUGAAGGUUGGGUAACACUAACUGGAGGACCGAACCGACUAAUGUUGAAAAAUUAGCGGAUGACCUGUGGCUGGGGGUGAAAGGCCAAUCAAACCGGGAGAUAGCUGGUUCUCCCCGAAAGCUAUUUAGGUAGCGCCUCGUGAAUUCAUCUCCGGGGGUAGAGCACUGUUUCGGCUAGGGGGCCAUCCCGGCUUACCAACCCGAUGCAAACUGCGAAUACCGGAGAAUGUUAUCACGGGAGACACACGGCGGGUGCUAACGUCCGUCGUGAAGAGGGAAACAACCCAGACCGCCAGCUAAGGUCCCAAAGUCAUGGUUAAGUGGGAAACGAUGUGGGAAGGCCCAGACAGCCAGGAUGUUGGCUUAGAAGCAGCCAUCAUUUAAAGAAAGCGUAAUAGCUCACUGGUCGAGUCGGCCUGCGCGGAAGAUGUAACGGGGCUAAACCAUGCACCGAAGCUGCGGCAGCGACGCUUAUGCGUUGUUGGGUAGGGGAGCGUUCUGUAAGCCUGUGAAGGUGGCCUGUGAGGGUGGCUGGAGGUAUCAGAAGUGCGAAUGCUGACAUAAGUAACGAUAAAGCGGGUGAAAAGCCCGCUCGCCGGAAGACCAAGGGUUCCUGUCCAACGUUAAUCGGGGCAGGGUGAGUCGACCCCUAAGGCGAGGCCGAAAGGCGUAGUCGAUGGGAAACGGGUUAAUAUUCCCGUACUUGGUGUUACUGCGAAGGGGGGACGGAGAAGGCUAUGUUGGCCGGGCGACGGUUGUCCCGGUUUAAGCGUGUAGGUGUGUGUUCCAGGUAAAUCCGGUUCACUUUAACACUGAGGCGUGACGACGAGGCACUACGGUGCUGAAGCAACAAAUGCCCUGCUUCCAGGAAAAGCCUCUAAGCAUCAGGUAACAUCAAAUCGUACCCCAAACCGACACAGGUGGUCAGGUAGAGAAUACCAAGGCGCUUGAGAGAACUCGGGUGAAGGAACUAGGCAAAAUGGUGCCGUAACUUCGGGAGAAGGCACGCUGAUAUGUAGGUGAAGUGAUUUACUCAUGGAGCUGAAAUCAGUCGAAGAUACCAGCUGGCUGCAACUGUUUAUUAAAAACACAGCACUGUGCAAACACGAAAGUGGACGUAUACGGUGUGACGCCUGCCCGGUGCCGGAAGGUUAAUUGAUGGGGUCAGCGCAAGCGAAGCUCCUGAUCGAAGCCCCGGUAAACGGCGGCCGUAACUAUAACGGUCCUAAGGUAGCGAAAUUCCUUGUCGGGUAAGUUCCGACCUGCACGAAUGGCGUAAUGAUGGCCAGGCUGUCUCCACCCGAGACUCAGUGAAAUUGAACUCGCUGUGAAGAUGCAGUGUACCCGCGGCAAGACGGAAAGACCCCGUGAACCUUUACUAUAGCUUGACACUGAACAUUGAGCCUUGAUGUGUAGGAUAGGUGGGAGGCUUUGAAGCGUGGACGCCAGUCUGCGUGGAGCCGACCUUGAAAUACCACCCUUUAAUGUUUGAUGUUCUAACGUGGACCCGUUACCCGGGUUGCGGACAGUGUCUGGUGGGUAGUUUGACUGGGGCGGUCUCCUCCUAAAGAGUAACGGAGGAGCACGAAGGUUGGCUAAUCCUGGUCGGACAUCAGGAGGUUAGUGCAAUGGCAUAAGCCAGCUUGACUGCGAGCGUGACGGCGCGAGCAGGUGCGAAAGCAGGUCAUAGUGAUCCGGUGGUUCUGAAUGGAAGGGCCAUCGCUCAACGGAUAAAAGGUACUCCGGGGAUAACAGGCUGAUACCGCCCAAGAGUUCAUAUCGACGGCGGUGUUUGGCACCUCGAUGUCGGCUCAUCACAUCCUGGGGCUGAAGUAGGUCCCAAGGGUAUGGCUGUUCGCCAUUUAAAGUGGUACGCGAGCUGGGUUUAGAACGUCGUGAGACAGUUCGGUCCCUAUCUGCCGUGGGCGCUGGAGAACUGAGGGGGGCUGCUCCUAGUACGAGAGGACCGGAGUGGACGCAUCACUGGUGUUCGGGUUGUCAUGCCAAUGGCACUGCCCGGUAGCUAAAUGCGGAAGAGAUAAGUGCUGAAAGCAUCUAAGCACGAAACUUGCCCCGAGAUGAGUUCUCCCUGAGACUUAGAGUCUCCUGAAGGAACGUUGAAGACGACGACGUUGAUAGGCCGGGUGUGUAAGCGCAGCGAUGCGUUGAGCUAACCGGUACUAAUGAACCGUGAGGCUUAACCUU